AGUGCGCAUUUAAGAACUCACCCCUCCGACCGCCUAUUGAAAAAGAGUCGGAACUUUUAAGCUACCGGCUAUCGGAAAAUCUAUCACGAUUCAUGGGAAUUCUUCCAUUAAAAAGGAGGAAAAUUCAAGAAUUCGAUUAUGCGUUUAAUUUUUAAGAAAAGUUCAUUGAACUUGUUGAUGUUCUUGAUGGUUCAAGUGAUGAUGUCCGAUCAAAACCCUAAACCCUAAAUCAAUUGAUCUAUCUAUUGGUACUCUUCUCAUUAUCUUGAUAUUCUUCCAAAGAACUCGAUUUUGGAUGUUGGAAUUCAAGAAAUCGAUUUUGCAUGUUGAACUUUUAAGAAAAUUUCAACAAGUUGUUUUUUUCAAAUUUUUUUUUUUAAAAAAAGCAAGUUAUGUUUUCAUCCUGUCAGUGUAUGUUAAGGAUGUUCAAGAAUUUUUUUAACUGAGAAACUGGAAUUGAAAAAAAGAACGUGGAGUUGUUCUUGAAGGACCCACUGCGCAACUAUAUAAAAAAAUUAAUUUGUUUAAUUAUAAGUAAGUUGUGAUUUGUAGUAUUUUGAAUGAAGACACUCAAUUGUAGACUUUUUGACUUUUGAUUGUUUCUAAAAAAUGGAAAAUUGUAGCCUAACUUUGAUUUGUAGUAGUUUGAAUGAGUAUACUUUUUUAUGUAUCCUUUCUGUCAAAAGAUAUCAACUUCCCUCCUUCAGGUUAGAGUUACUGAGUUAGUAUCUUUUCUAUUCUUUGGAGUAAUAAAAAAAGAGAAAUAUAUUAAUCUUGGAUCUUAGAGGAAGUAACUUCAUUUGAACAUUUAACACCUACACUAAUGCUCCAACAGUUUUAAUAAAUACUAUAAAUCAUUAAUUAGAAUGAGGGGGUUAAGGAAAAGCUAGAAUAGGCUCUGAGGAAGUGACAAAAUUCUUGUAUCUCUUUGAUGAGUGGAGGAAGUGGGAGCACAUGUAACCAGAGGACUGCAUCUGGUUUCUCUUAGUUUUCGACUGCAGACCAUGGACUAGAUCAAACUUGAGAACUGUAGCACUUUUUAGGAUUACUGAUUUUUGUUUCAACUGAUUACAUUGUCUGAUUCUGUAGACAUUCUGCUAUGAACUGGAUAGGAAACUAUUGACUUCAAUGACAUGCUAUUUGUUAAAAGUGCUGGUCAUCACCUGCCCCUACUUUGUUGUACCAUAUGUAGGUUAAGAGAGGAUUGGUUUGACUAAUCGCCACAAAAAAAGAAAAACAUGUCACUUGUUCAUUUUUGUUCCAUGGUAGAUAUGCAAUCAAUUUGGCAGAGAUUAUGUGCAGCAUUUAACUCCCUUUGCUGGCACCAUUGAUACUGAUUGUGUUAAUCUGAUGAAGCUAUUUUGAUGUGUUUUUCAAGAAUAUCUUGUGGUGACAAGUUGGUUCUUAGCUCUAUUUCUGAUAUUUCUUUGUUGGAAUUGUUACCAAAUCUCAUGGGAGGCCUAAUAGAUAUUGUAAGGUUUUGAAGGUAAAACUCUUUUGAGUUAUAGUAAGUAGUCGACAUUAGGAUAGGUAUAAAACUACUAACCUGGUCUUUGAAGUUUUAUCUGGCCAUUGUUAACAGGAUGGCAAGUGUUUUGUACCUUGGAAUUGAUGAUUAUAGACAAGAUGUUGGUAUAACAGGUGAUUUUGUAUAAGCCUACCUGAUAAUUGAGUUGACUGCUGCUGGCUAAUAAGGAAAUUUCUAGGGUUUUUUCUUUUUGCAGUAAUUGUUCGUGAUGUAUUUUACAACUUACCUGUUCGAAGGAAGCAAAUGCACUCCAAGUUCUUCUAGUUUUCUCAAAAUCAAACAAGUAAAAAAUAUUGCUUUACAUACUUUACUUCUAAAGCUGUACUCUGAUCUGAUUGAUCUUUUGGUGUGCAUAUAUAAUCUUGAAGUCCAAGUAGGGUCUUGCAUUCUCCAAAAGAGUCUGCUAGGAAUCUCCCUUGUGCAUCGCAGUGCCUCCUUCAAAAUUGUUGAUAUUGAAAGUGAGGAUGACCUGCUGUUGUCUAGUGGGUUUGGAAUUCAUCUGAGUUCCCUUAAUAAAUUGAAUGCAAGUGUUGGUGCAUUCGAACUUUCAGGAUAACUCUCAGGUCCUGGUGUUUAAACAGUGAACCUAUGCAGCCCCAAAUUGAUGGAUAAAGAGAUGUGAUAAGUCAUCUUUUCUACACUUUGUUUAUUGACUUUUUGAUUUCUGACCAAGUAUUUUUUAAAAUGAUAUGGUUCUUUGGCUUUUCUCUCUGGUUUUCUUGAAAUUCCUAAUAGAUUGUUUUUGCAUACAUUGGGCAUGCUUGUUGAUAAGUUUCUGAAGCCAUUCUGGAGGAUUUCUCCCAUUGAUAUUACCAAGUGGCUUAACUAUAUCUUUCUCAGAUUUGGCAACUGGAGCUUUGCAUAUGAGAGGCACCGUCAUAGAUAUGAGGUGGAUCCUGAUAUGGUGCAGCAAUUUGAAGAUGCUGGCCUUUCUUUCACUGGCAAAGAUGAAAGUGAUCGCCACAUGGAGGUAUCUGUUGCUAUAGACAUUGGGACCUGAAUUGUGAAGGUGGAUGACAAUGGAUCUGGUGUCUCACGAGAUGGACAGAUGCUGAGGAGAGAAUGAUAUGAGAAUCUUAAAAUUAGUUGCUACCACGAGCUAUGUUCUCCUCUAGGGUGGAUGGGGACUCACAUAAAUGGAUUGUCGCAGGAAAUCGAGGUAAAACAGAUGAGCUUAUAAGGAAGAAGAAGAGUAGAAGAAGUCAUUCAGCUCCUCCAUUUUACCAAGACAAGAAGUUCUUUGCCACAACUGAGUCUUCAAGAAAGGCAGCAGGAAAUAACAACAUUUAAACUGUUUAUGAUGUGCUCAUGCCAGAAUCUAGAGCUGUAAGGAGACUGCAUCAUUCUGCAGAAGCUAUCUGCGUGGAGCUUCCACUCAGUCAUCCCAUCAAUGUGCUCAAUUUUCCACCCAAAAUGUGGUAAAGGGUGUGUUCUCUGAUGAAAGGCCAAGUGUUAAAAUGAAAUUUGUUAACAUCUGGAAUAGAAAAUUACAAACUCAAGGGGAUUGCACAAGUACAUGCGAUGGGGAGUCAAAAGAAGUGUUGCUGCCACGUCAUUGCUUUGUGUGGUCGACCGUGUAGCCACAUCAAUAGCCUGCUCCAUACAUUUCUCCUGAAGGAACAUUCAGCAAACAAAUGAUCUCUACUUUCAUCAUGUCCCUGGCAAAAUACACAAGUGUUUCCCACAUCCAUUCCCCAACUCGACAGUUUAUAGCCGGUGAGUAAUCUAUUCUGAAACUGCAGCCACAUAGUGAAUAUGGCUUUGCCACUUGGGUCAUUUUUAAACAUAAAACAUUUCCAUUCGAUUCUUGGUUGUUGGCCAAUAAGCUGGAUAUACAUUUGCCUGAUGAUACUGCUAGUUCCUUUGGGAACUAUUUGACUCUGGUCUAUCACAGUCCUUGCUUAAAUUAUCUUCCUUACCAACCAGGAAGCUUGUUGUGGAAUAGGCAUAGUAUUGAUAUGCUGAUAUUUUAUAUAAUAAGAGUGGAUCCACCUUAUCCGUAGCUUAUCCAACUUGUGAGCAAGGUCCCAGUGAUUUUUUGCAAUUGCCGCUCUAUUUCAUAAGUUGAGAUUGAUGAGAUUUAGUCCACCUAUGGAUUUAGGGGUACAAACUCUCUCCCAGGACACCAAGGCCUUCUUGGUUAUCACAUUAAUCCCAUAUAUAGCUCCUACAGUAAGCUUCCACAGCCUUCAUUAGCUUUGUAGGGAUCUUGCUUAUGUUUAUUCAAAGUUUCUUGGAUUCUGGGACAAAAUGGAGGGACUUCCGUCCAUAGAUUACAGUUGAGUACCUUAGCUAUAUGGACAAGAUGAUGAACUUUUACCU